CCGCCUCCUCACCUUCUCAGGCGAGUUAAUAUGGCUAUCGUGCGUUCCAUCUCGUCGUGUUUCGACCGAGUGCUACUUCCCUCGGACAUUGUCGCGUAUGUACGUAUUGCUAGAAUAACUAGAAGAUUCCACGCUGAUCACCGUCGCUGGUCGGCAACGAUAUUCGCGAGAUACUCGUCGCGGUUGACGCUCGAUCUCUUUGUCGACGCUCGGUCGCUAGCGAUGCAGUUACGCGGGUUCCCAGAAAUUGGCGCGCGUGUGUACGCAUUCCACCAGCGCUUCGCGACGCAGGAUUGCGUGUUUACGCAUAACACGACCGAUGUUUUGCUCCACGCCUUGUCGGAUUCGGUGACCUUCGUGCGACGAAACGCGAAACGGGCCCGGAGAUCGUCGCAAUUUGUGACCGUCGGAAGGACGAACUGAAAGUUACGUGUGAAGGUUAAGUCGCACGGUGUGGUCAGCACUUGACGAGUGCGCGCCAAUAUUUCGGUCAAGUGUAUACAUGGCUGACGGCUCGUGGGCACGUUCACCCGGGGUCUCGCAGAACGACCACGAAAGGGCCAAUUGAUCACACGAUCGGACGCGAUAACGGUUUCGAGACAACGCGGUGCGACGACAGCUUGCUGGGCUUCAGAAACGUCGUUCGGAUGCACCCAGAUAUCACUUUAUCCUUGUUUAAUGCUUUUGGCAUGCAACAAGGAUGAAAUGAUGUCUCUAAUGUUUCCGAACGCAGCCCUGGCGGUGGCGUCGCGUGUCGUCGUCGUCGUCGUCGUCGUCGUCGGUCCGCGAGAAGAGGAGAGAUCGUUCGCUCGCGCUUGCAUUCCUCUGUAUUACCGGUAACAAUGUGACCUGUGGCACACAUCACGGAUCACAUCUUGCUCUUUUUUAAUCAGAAUGAGGUUUCUAAUUCUGCAUUUCUUCGUUCCCUGAGGUGCUGUGGCUACCCCAUCUACCUACUUGAAGAUGCAAAUGUUUAGAGGACUGGAGCAGUCGUCCAUCGUACCGAAAAUACAGCGAAAACACGGUAAUGGUGCAUCUGUCAAUGUGAGUACUUAUAUUUAUUUUCUAUUUGUUCUUGAUUUAAUACAUGCAUUUUAACGCUUUACCAUUAUGACAAAAAAGGUUGAAAGUUUGGAAAACAAAGAAGAAAUAACAAUUAACUUUGUCUCAAUUGCAUUUUAUUAUUACACUGCAUUACA